rnacentral:misc_RNA from 1 species
AUAUGUUACUUCUGGGAUUGCAUUCUAUUUGAUCAUAGAGUAUGACAUCUUACAAUUGCUUAAUAGAAGUAACAUAUAUGGCAAUUUAUCAAGGAAAAUGCAGACAAUUUUACUUUUGAGAAAAUAAAUAAAUAAAUAAAAUAUAGCCUAGCAUUUAAAUUUGAUGCAUGAGCAUCAUCGGCCUCAUCCAAAUGCAGUUGUUGAGAUGGUACUUAUUUCUUGUUUACUUGAAGAAGAAGAAGUUGUACCAGCAAUACCUUCUCUUUCAACAAAGGCUGGCUGCUUAGGUGCUGGAAAGGUUGCAGUGUCACUGUUGAGCAUAACAAUAACAUAUGACAUGUCAGGCCGGUCAGCUGGAUCUUCUUGAACGCAUAACAGUGCGAUGCGUAGGCACUUCAAAAACUCAUUGCUGUUACAACUUUCACUCAUCGUCUUGUCCAUGAAAUCCAAUGCCUUGUCUUCUCUCCACAAUCUCCAUGCAUAACUCAGAAGGUUUAAAGCUUGUUCAGGCUUAAAUACUCCGGUACUCCUCCUUCCACUCAGAAUUUCAAGCACAACCACGCCAAAGCUAAAAGCAUCUGAUUUAACUGAGAAAAGCCCAUCUAAUGCGUACUCUGGGGACAUAUAGCCGUAAGUUCCGACUACUCUGUUUGUGCUUCCCUCUGUUUGUUUGCCUUCAAAUAUCCUUGCCAAGCCAAAGUCUGAAAUUUUGGGGUUCAUUUCUGCAUCUAGUAAAAUGUUGCUUGUUUUCAAAUCCCUAUGAAUAAUCCUCAACCUAGAAUCUUGGUGCAGAUAAACAAGUCCUCGAGCAACUCCUAUAAUGAUAUUGAAGCGCACCUCCCAAUUCAGAAGCAUGCCAAGCUUUUCAUCGAAUAAAUAAGAAUCUAAACUUCUGUUAGGCAUAUAUUCAUAGAGUAAAAUCUUUUCAUUUCCGUGAAUGCAAUAGCCCAAAAGUCUUACAAGAUUCCGAUGUUGAAGUUUAGCAAUCAGCACAACUUCAUUUUUGAAUUCCUCUAACCCUUGUCCUGAAACACUUGAAAGUCUCUUUAUAGCAAUUUCCUGGCCCCCUGGAAAUAUACCCUUGUACACAGGCCCAAAGCCCCCUCUUCCAAGCUUGUUCGCAUCUGAGAAAUUAUCAGUGGCAGCUAGUAUGCUGUCUAAAUUGAAAAAUGGUACAUCUAUGCCCUUCUUGUCCUCUUCUUUAAAAUCUUUGGAGCCCAUCAAGUCUUUGAUGCGUUUCUCAGUGCCACACAAUAGCGCUGCAU